GAUGAACGCUGGCGGCGUGCCUAACACAUGCAAGUCGAGCGGGGUUAUAAAAGAUGCUUGCAUUGAUUAUAAGCUAGCGGCGGACGGGUGAGUAACGCGUGGGUAAUCUACCUUAUACUGGGGAAUAACAAUGAGAAAUCAUUGCUAAUGCCUCAUAAGCUUACGACAUCGCAUGAUGAAGUAAGAAAAGAUUUAUCGGUAUAAGAGGAGCCCGCGGCUGAUUAGCUAGUUGGAAAGGUAAAGGCUUACCAAGGCGACGAUAAGUAGCCGACCUGAGAGGGUGACCGGCCACAUUGGGACUGAGACACGGCCCAAACUCCUACGGGAGGCAGCAGUGGGGAAUAUUGCACAAUGGGCGAAAGCCUGAUGCAGCAACGCCGCGUGAAGGAAGAAGGUUUUCGGAUCGUAAACUUCUAUCGACAGGGAAGAAAGAAAUGACGGUACCUGAGUAAGAAGCCCCGGCUACCUACGUGCCAGCCGCCGCUGUAAUAC
rnacentral:rRNA from 1 species